UACGGAGGGAGCUAGCGUUAUUCGGAAUUACUGGGCGUAAAGCGCACGUAGGCGGCUUUGUAAGUUAGAGGUGAAAGCCUGGAGCUCAACUCCAGAAUUGCCUUUAAGACUGCAUCGCUUGAAUCCAGGAGAGGUGAGUGGAAUUCCGAGUGUAGAGGUGAAAUUCGUAGAUAUUCGGAAGAACACCAGUGGCGAAGGCGGCUCACUGGACUGGUAUUGACGCUGAGGUGCGAAAAGCGUGGGGGAGCAAACAGGG
rnacentral:rRNA from 1 species